rnacentral:rRNA from 1 species
AUCUAUGGCCAUACCACCCUGAACGCGCCCGAUCUCCUCUGAUCUUGGAAGCUAAGCAGGGUCAGGCCUGGUUAGUACUUGGGUGGGAGAACGUGGCAGACGCUGUUGAUU